rnacentral:rRNA from 1 species
AGAGUUUGAUCCUGGCUCAGAGCGAACGCUGGCGGCAGCCUAACACAUGCAAGUCGAGCGCCCAGCAAUGGGAGCGGCAGACGGGAUAGUAACACGUGGGAACGUACCCUUCAGUUCGGAACAACCAAGGGAAACUUUGGCUAAUACCGGAUACGUCCGUAAGGAGAAAGAUUUAUCGCUGAAGGAUCGGCCCGCGUCUG